AAUCUCUGAACUAAAAGUUUUUACAUCUGAUAUUCUCUGAAGUGUUGAUAGAUUAUACCUCAUCACAUGCAAACUACGUGACUAUAACAACAGAAUGUAAAGCUGAAAUGAGAGCAGUUCACUCCUAAUUGCUUUCAGAAUGGAAUAGGCGAUCUUUGUACGUCAUAAUGUAUUCAUUUAUUUGAAAAAGAAACAUGCCACAACUAAAGGAAAAGGGUGAUGACAAACAGUUGUGUAGAAAGAGAAAGGUUGGCAGUUUUUACGUCUAGCAUUAAAGUGUUUGCGAACAGAUUUCAUACGCACAGGUUGGUCCAUGCUAUUAAUUGACAAUCUGCCUGGAGUGGUGAAACGUCAUCAGCUUUGAUCCUUU